UGCUCAAGCUUACGCCCUGAAGGAAGAGAAUGACAGUCUCCGGUGGCAACUGGAUGCAUACCGAAAUGAGGUGGAACUUCUCAAACAAGAGAAAGGGCAGCUUUUUCGCACAGAGGAAAGCUUGACGAAAGACCAGCAGUUACAGUUUUUGCAGCAGACUGUCCAAGGCAUGCAGCAGCAACUGUUAAAAAUCCAAGAAGAAUUAAAUAACAAGAAGUUGGAACUUGAGCAAGCAAAAGAAGAGCAUUCCCAUACACAGGCCGUGCUGAAAAUCCUGCAGGAACAGUUAAAAAAAAAUGCCAAGGACUUAGAGACUAAUGGCCACGACGAAGCUCAGGCAAACGUAA